GAUGAACGCUGGCGGCGUGCCUAACACAUGCAAGUCGAGCGAUUCUCUUCGGAGAAGAGCGGCGGACGGGUGAGUAACGCGUGGGUAACCUGCCCUGUACACACGGAUAACAUACCGAAAGGUAUGCUAAUACGAGAUAAUAUACUUUUAUCGCAUGGUAGAAGUAUCAAAGCUGUUGCGGUACAGGAUGGACCCGCGUCUGAUUAGCUAGUUGGUAAGGUAACGGCUUACCAAGGCGACGAUCAGUAGCCGACCUGAGAGGGUGGUCGGCCACAUUGGAACUGAGACACGGUCCAAACUCCUACGGGAGGCAGCAGUGGGGAAUAUUGCACAAUGGGCGAAAGCCUGAUGCAGCAACGCCGCGUGAGCGAUGAAGGCCUUCGGGUCGUAAAGCUCUGUCCUCAAGGAAGAUAAUGACGGUACUUGAGGAGGAAGCCCCGGCUAACUACGUGCCAGCCGCCGCCGUAAUAC
rnacentral:rRNA from 1 species